rnacentral:rRNA from 1 species
UACGUAGGGGGCAAGCGUUGUCCGGAUUUAUUGGGCGUAAAGAGCGUGUAGGCGGCCUGAAAGGUCAGCUGUGAAAACUCGAGGCUCAACCUCGAGACGUCGGUUGAAACCAUCUGGCUAGAGUCCGGAAGAGGAGUGUGGAAUUCCUGGUGUAGCGGUGAAAUGCGCAGAUAUCAGGAAGAACACCCGUGGCUAAGGCGGUUCUCUAGUACGGUACUGACGCUGAGACGCGAAAGCGUGGGGAGCGAACAGG